rnacentral:rRNA from 1 species
UACGGGGGGGGGCAAGCGUUGUUCGGAAUUACUGGGCGUAAAGGGCUCGUAGGCGGCCAACUAAGUCAGACGUGAAAUCCCCAGGCUCAACCUGGGAACUGCGUCUGAUACUGGAUGGCUUGAAUUCGGGAGAGGGAUGCAGAAUUCCAGGUGUAGCGGUGAAAUGCGUAGAUAUCUGGAGGAACACCAAUGGCGAAGGCAGCACUCUGGGACGUGACUGACGCUGAGACGCGAAAGCGUGGGGAGCAAACAGG